rnacentral:rRNA from 1 species
ACGGGAGGCAGCAGUGGGGAAUAUUGCACAAUGGGCGAAAGCCUGAUGCAGCGACGCCGCGUGAGUGAAGAAGUAUUUCGGUAUGUAAAGCUCUAUCAGCAGGGAAGAAAAUGACGGUACCUGACUAAGAAGCCCCGGCUAACUAUGUGCCGGCAGCCGCGGUAAUACAUAGGGGGCAAGCGUUAUCCGGAUUUACUGGGUGUAAAGGGAGCGUAGACGGCAUGGCAAGUCUGAAGUGAAAUGCGGGGGCUCAACCCCUGAACUGCUUUGGAAACUGUCAAGCUAGAGUGUCGGAGAGGUAAGUGGAAUUCCUAGUGUAGCGGUGAAAUGCGUAGAUAUUAGGAGGAACACCAGCGGCGAAGGCGGCUUACUGGACGAUAACUGACGUUGAGGCUCGAAAGCGUGGGGAGCAAACAGGAUUAGAUACCCUGGUA